UUUAAAUUUCAAAUAUACACUAGCAGUUACCACAUCCAGGGUCUUUAUAUUGCCUUCAUUUGUUUUUUAUUUAUCUCCUCCCAGUAGAUUUUAAGUUUCGCUGUCUAUCUUGCCAUCUCUUCUCUGAGCCUCUUGGGACUCUGUCAUGAGCAGCCUGGACUCUUGCAGACCUGUGCUUCUGUAUCUCCGUGGACCGAGAACACAAUUGUUAAAAGAUUAAAAUAAUAGCAGCCCUGGCUGAGUGAGCUGAGAAGUUUUGUUCUUAUUUCGACAAAUUGAAAUCUGACAAGAAUGGAUAUGGGAGAAGACAGAGAGCCAGCAAGAUAGAAUGAGUUUGUGAUCGUAAAAGGACUUCAACCAGCACUGCUAACCAAGGGCUUAGAAAGAGUUUGAUCUACAGGCAUGGGAUCCCACACAAAAUUUCACUGGACCAAGACACCCAUUAUACAGCAAAGGAGGUGAGCAGUGGGCACAUGACCAUGGUAUCCACAGUCCUAUCAUGUACUCCACCACCCACGGGCUGCUGGACUGACAGAGCACUGGAACAAUCUGUUGAAGGGUCAGCUGAGGUGCCAUCUUGGAGAGGAUGCCCUGUCCAGAUGGACCGCUAUCCUCUAAGAUGUAGUAUAUACCUCAAAUUGUUAAAUAUUAGAUGGUGCUGUGUUUUCAAGACCCAGGAAGCAAGAAGCAGAAGUAAAAAUGACCUUGCUUAUCAUCGGCCCCAGUGACUCCUUUAGAGAAUUUGUGCUUCCCUUCUCUUUAACUCUGGAUUCUGACAUUUUAUAGUCUUGUUUCUUAGAGAGUGAAUGGGUCCACCAAAGAACACAGCAAGGUUCUAUUAAGAUAAUUAAUAGGAUUAAGCUCCUGCUCGGUUACUUCAAAGAUCUUGUCCCAAGAGACCAAUAGGCAAGGAAAGUAGUCACCAUACUGGCAUGAACAAUUGACCUUGACCUUCAGGCAGAGGUAGAGCUGCUCGUACACACUAGGGGCAGGGAAGAAUAUAUUUGGCACUCAAGUGAUCCACUUGGGUUGCUCUUGGUAACCGUUGCCCAAUUUUGUUGGUAAAUGUGGCAGCAACACCACCUGGGAAGGUUAUGGUGACCAGUGGCCCGUGGCCACUCUUAUCCAGAGAUAAAACGUCUGUAUCACCUCAGCAGCCCAGCCAGCUAGACCAGCAGAGGUGCUGGUUGAGGGCGAAGAGACUCUAGAACAGAUGGUGGAAGCCUGGCAGAAAGACUGUCUGUUACUGCCUCAAGGUCAGUGCAGUGGCAGAGAUGGAAGUUUUUCUCCCUAACCUUCUUGUAAGAUUCCCCCAGGAAAAGAAACCAAACAGAAUACUGGAGGAGUUUCUCCUAGAGUUUAUAAUACGAAGGAAGUGGAUCCAAGUGGAGUAAGGAGUUGUCCACAGAGGAUACCAUGGUGUGCCACCCAGAUCCCCCUCCAGGUCAGUUCAUUCAUCCCCUGAGCUGGUGGGAGUGUUGGUGGCAAAUAACAGUCAGCUGACUUCCCUUUCUGGGACUUUCCAUAAGCUGGAGAGAGCUGUCUUGCCCAAACUUAUGCAAAGGGGGAACCUGCAAUUAACACCUCAAUUUUAUUUUAUUUUGUUUUUUGGUGAGGAAGAUUGUUUCUGAGCUAACAUCUGUUGCCAA